CAGACUUAUUGUUUGGUUCUGGCAAUGGGAGCCUAACAGAAUCAGAAGGAUGGUAGCAGCAGCCCUGUUCAACUCUCCAAGGCAACUCAUUUGGCUUUGUAAUGGACCAGGCUUGAAGUAUGUGUCCAAAUAGGAACUACAACGUACAGUCCUUUAUAUUUUCCAGGUUAUAUUCCUGAUGUAACACAGGUAAUUUCAUGUUAUGUAUUCCUGAUGUAACACAGAAAAACAUACCCGCUGCGAAGCGCGAGGAUGGCAGUGUAGUUUCUCUUAUUCACGGUCUUUUUGACACAAGCCGCUCAAACGCCAAGGGCAUCGAGACACCACUUAUACCUCCAGUUACUACCAUCGAGCCAUUUGUGUUUCUGAAUUGAUAAAAAAUUGGAAAGAGGGCCAACUUCAGCGAUCAAAUUCUUGGUGGGUAUGCACAAGCCUUUGUGAUGAUUAUAAUGUUGAAGUUCAAUUGGAUGCACCUUUGUGUGUGACGGUUAUUCAGAUUGGUCGUUGUCUAACGUGGUGGUACAAACGAAUUCUAUUGAAGAUUUGGGACAGAGGACCAAGCCGAUGCGUCUAAGAAGCCUGUCUAGAAUAAGUUUUCUGAUGGAGUCGUGGAUGCGGUUAGUCCGGUUAUGGGUGCGAACUAAACCGACACUUAAGUCGUCUUUGUUGAAGUCAUUAAAAGCGCUUUAUUAUCCCCCUGCGUUACCGGUAGCAGUUUGCUUUAGUAUUCUAAUUGAUUGUUUAAUCUGUGGUAAUUUGGCAAAUUUAAUACACUUAUCUAUGUAUAGAUGAAAAUUUGAAUUAAAAAAUCUCUGUGCA